rnacentral:rRNA from 1 species
AAGGUCCCAAAGUGUAAGUUAAGUGGGAAAGGAUGUGAGAUUUCUAAGACAACUAGGAUGUUGGCUUAGAAGCAGCCAUUCAUUAAAAGAGUGCGUAAUAGCUCACUAGUCGAGAGAUCUUGCGCCGAAAAUGUAACGGGGCUAAACUUACCACCGAAGCUACGGGCUUGAACUUAGUUCAAGCGGUAGGAGAGCGUCGUAACCGGGCUGAAGUCGUACCGUAAGGAGCGGUGGACUGGUUACGAGUGAGAAUGUUGGCAUCAGUAGCGAGAUGUGGGUGAGAAUCCCACAGGCCGAAAACCUAAGGUUUCCUCAGGAAGGUUCUUCCGCUGAGGGUUAGUCGGGACCUAAGCCGAGGCCGAAAGGCGUAGGUGAUGGACAACUGGUUGAUAUUCCAGUACCACUACCAUCGUUAUUAUCGAUGGCGUGACGCAGGAGGAUAGUGUGUGCUAGCUAUUGGAUGCUAGUCUAAGCGUUUAGGCAGUGAGAGUAGGCAAAUCCGCUCUCAUAAUGCUGAGACGUGAUGGGGAAGGUUCUACGGAACCGAAGUACAUGAUUCCACGCUGCCAAGAAAAGCGUCUAGAGAGAGAAGUAGUGCCCGUACCGCAAACCGACACAGGUAGGUGAGGAGAGAAUCCUAAGGCCGGCGGAAGAAUUACAGUUAAGGAACUCGGCAAAUUGACCCCGUAAGUUCGCGAGAAGGGGUGCCUACGAGAGUAGGCCGCAGAGAAUAGGCCCAAGCAACUGUUUAGCAAAAACACAGGUCUCUGCUAAAGCGUAAGCUGAUGUAUAGGGGCUGACGCCUGCCCGGUGCUGGAAGGUUAAGGGGAACACUUAGCGCAAGCGAAGGUGUGAACUUAAGCCCCAGUAAACGGCGGCCGUAACUAUAACGGUCCUAAGGUAGCGAAAUUCCUUGUCAGGUAAGUUCUGACCCGCACGAAUGGCGUAAUGACUUGGGCACUGUCUCAACUGUAAAUCCGGCGAAGUUGUAGUGCGAGUGAAGAUGCUCGCUACCCGCGAUUGGACGGAAAGACCCCGUAGAGCUUUACUGUAGCUUAGCAUUGAGUUUUGGUAUUGUCUGUACAGGAUAGGUGGGAGACUAGGAAACCAGGGCGUCAGCCUUGGUGGAGUCAACCUUGGGAUACCACCCUGACAGUACUGAAAUUCUAACUGGCGGCCAUGAAUCUGGUCACAGGACAUUGUUAGGUGGGCAGUUUGACUGGGGCGGUCGCCUCCUAAAAAGUAACGGAGGCGCCCAAAGGUUCCCUCAGAACGGUCGGAAAUCGUUCGAAGAGUGCAAAGGCAGAAGGGAGCCUGACUGCGACACCCACAAGUGGAGCAGGGACGAAAGUCGGGCUUAGUGAUCCGGUGGUACCUCGUGGGAGGGCCAUCGCUCAACGGAUAAAAGCUACCUCGGGGAUAACAGGCUGAUCUCCCCCAAGAGUCCACAUCGACGGGGAGGUUUGGCACCUCGAUGUCGGCUCGUCGCAUCCUGGGGCUGAAGUAGGUCCCAAGGGUUGGGCUGUUCGCCCAUUAAAGCGGCACGCGAGCUGGGUUCAGAACGUCGUGAGACAGUUCGGUCCCUAUCCGUCGCGGGCGUAGGAAAUUUGAGAGGAGCUGUCCUUAGUACGAGAGGACCGGGAUGGACUGACCUCUGGUGUACCAGUUGUUCCGCCAGGAGCACAGCUGGGUAGCUAAGUCGGGAAUGGAUAAACGCUGAAAGCAUCUAAGCGUGAAGCCAACCUCAAGAUGAGAUUUCCCAUAGCGUAAGCUAGUAAGAUCCCUUGAAGAACACAAGGUUGAUAGGUCGGGGGUGUAAGCAUGGUAACAUGUUCAGCUGACCGAUACUAAUAGAUCGAGGGCUUGACCAA